rnacentral:lncRNA from 1 species
CGAGGGGGACUCGCGCGCUGCGGCGCCCCCUGGCGACAGGAGGGGCUCGGUGCAGGCUAAUCCACGCGCGGAGUCCAGGGUCCCUCUACAGCGGUUUCCCUGGGAACCACUCUGGCUGGAAAUCCUGUGGCUGCCUUUGGAGGAUGUGAACUCUCCUGGGAUGGUAAGAGGCUUUGGACUGUGUAUUGAGGACAAGCAGAACCGACCUGAAAUUCCGCGUCUGUGGAUACCUGAAGCUGGAGUAGGAGGACCAGAAGUGCUCUGCGCUCUGCUAUUAACCCCAUGAAAAGAGUUCUUUCCAGAUAAGCGGAUACUUGCGGCUGCGUGGAGUGGAUCCCAGUCCCAGUUUGCUACCAGCAAUCCCAACCCAAGACACAGAUGAGCAUUGUCUGGGAAAGCACACUGUCGUCACCUGCCUCCCCCAUCCCGGUCCCCACCACUCUCUGACUGAUGCCAUCGCCUAGAUGAUAAAGCGCCCGUCACUCAAGCACAGAAGUCGAAAUUCAUAGUUCAUUUCUUUACUUAUGUAAGAUCAUUCACUGACAAAAGAACUCAAAUGGAAAGGCUUUGGGCAUAUGCAGAAACGGGGAGAAAAAAAUAAUCUCUCCGAGUCAGAAGCCUCGGGGGAGCAUAGCAAGACUUAUCAAAGUUACAGUGCUCCAUUUGGAAAGCGCCAACCGCCAGCCCUCGGGCGAGGUGCAGUGGUGCAUAAUUAAUGUAGUCCCAGACACAGGUCACUGAAGUGCCCCACAGGUGUGUGCCUGGUUUUCAAUAAGGCCUUUCCCUCGGAACUCCUCUUCCGACUUUGAGUUUGUGCUCCCGGAAGCCUUGCACGAUCGGGAGAAUUCAGAAGAACGAUCUGAAUGCCCAUCAAUAGAAAAUGGCAAGAAAUUACGGCAGAUCUAGUCUCUGGAAUCCUAGGUAUUUGGGGAAAAGAAGCAAGCUGGGUCCCAAAACACUGAUAUAGAAAAGUGGCUGUAGUUUUUGUUGUUGGUGUUGUUUUGUUUUUGCUUUUCAUCAGGAAGGCAAAUAGAAAAAGGUUCACAAUAUUCCAUUUUUUGCAAGACUUCCAUUUUUCAAGUAAGUCUUUGUCCUGAAGGUCACACCAAUGCCCUCAUUAUAUAUGCCCUUCCUGCAAUAUGUGGCUUUUCUGGGUUUCCUGAGCAGGCUGCAGUUUGAGUUUGAACCCUGGGCCUACAGGUGCACAGAUGCUAUCAGCAUUGAUUUGUCCCUCUCGAGACUUUCCAGAUUUGGAGACGUGCCACGCAGUGGAGCGUGAUGACUGUCCAAGAGCUGUUAAGGAGCUACCUCGUGCCCCCGACCACAACCCCCUGCGCGCGCCCCCUGGCGGGGAAGAGGCUUGGCCCCCAUGGGAUAUCAGAAGCAGGAGAACCCUAAGAAAGCGCCCCUCCCUCUGUGCUUGAGGAGACUACUCCGAAGUGGGAUUUCUUCCCGCAAACUUUUCCAGAAGAAUCCGGCGUGAGAAGUAGACACACCUGCUGAAACCGGCCAGCACAGCUACGCAUCCCAUCACUUCAUUGUUUCUGGAUUAACUUCCGGUUGUUUUGUUUUAUUUAACUUUCUCCUUCACCAGCCUUGCUUGCUUUUCCCAAAUAAAGUGGACCCCGA